rnacentral:tRNA from 1 species
UGGGGUGUGGCUCAGUGGGACAGCACUUGCCUGCCCACGCCAGGCCCUGGGUUCCAUCCCCAGCACAGCAC